UCCGUAGGGUGAACCUGCGGAGGGAUCAGCUACCGACCGUUAUCCAACUCCCAACCCCUGUGAAUUAUACCUUUAAUUGUUGCUUCGGCGGGACUUCGCGCCCGCCGGGGACCCAAACCUUCUGAAUUUUUUAAUAAGUAUCUUCUGAGUGGUUAAAAAAAUGAAUCAAAACUUUCAACAACGGAUCUCUUGGUUCUGGCAUCGAUGAAGAACGCAGCGAAAUGCGAUAAGUAAUGUGAAUUGCAGAAUUCAGUGAAUCAUCGAAUCUUUGAACGCACAUUGCGCCCGUCAGUAUUCUGGCGGGCAUGCCUGUUCGAGCGUCAUUACGCCCCUCAAGUCCCCUGUGGACUUGGUGUUGGGGAUCGGCGAGGCUGGUUUUCCAGCACAGCCGUCCCUUAAAUUAAUUGGCGGUCUCGCCGUGGCCCUCCUCUGCGCAGUAGUAAAACACUCGCAACAGGAGCCCGGCGCGGUCCACUGCCGUAAAACCCCCCAACUUUUUAUAGUUGACCUCGAAUCAGGUAGGACGUACCUCGCUGAUACUUAAGCAUAUCAAUAAGCGGAGGAA
rnacentral:rRNA from 1 species